UCGUGGGGUGAUCUGUCUGGUUGAUUCCGAUAACGAGCGAGAUCUCUACCUUUCCAUAGCUUUCACGCUCAUUGUAGGGCAGUCCCUCGGCGGUGUUCCCUAUGGGAUCAUUCGGCGGGACCAGGCUGUUCGAGAGCAUGGCAACCUUCUCAGAGGAUCCCCGUGCGUUCCAAAGCACGGGCAAGCAAGAGGCGACAGCA
rnacentral:rRNA from 1 species